GGGUUGUGAGGUUAAGCGACUAAGCGUACACGGUGGAUGCCCUGGCAGUCAGAGGCGAUGAAGGACGUGCUAAUCUGCGAUAAGCGUCGGUAAGGUGAUAUGAACCGUUAUAACCGGCGAUUUCCGAAUGGGGAAACCCAGUGUGUUUCGACACACUAUCAUUAACUGAAUCCAUAGGUUAAUGAGGCGAACCGGGGGAACUGAAACAUCUAAGUACCCCGAGGAAAAGAAAUCAACCGAGAUUCCCCCAGUAGCGGCGAGCGAACGGGGAGCAGCCCAGAGCCUGAAUCAGUGUGUGUGUUAGUGGAAGCGUCUGGAAAGGCGCGCGAUACAGGGUGACAGCCCCGUACACAAAAAUGCACAUGCUGUGAGCUCGAUGAGUAGGGCGGGACACGUGGUAUCCUGUCUGAAUAUGGGGGGACCAUCCUCCAAGGCUAAAUACUCCUGACUGACCGAUAGUGAACCAGUACCGUGAGGGAAAGGCGAAAAGAACCCCGGCGAGGGGAGUGAAAAAGAACCUGAAACCGUGUACGUACAAGCAGUGGGAGCACGCUUAGGCGUGUGACUGCGUACCUUUUGUAUAAUGGGUCAGCGACUUAUAUUCUGUAGCAAGGUUAACCGAAUAGGGGAGCCGAAGGGAAACCGAGUCUUAACUGGGCGUUAAGUUGCAGGGUAUAGACCCGAAACCCGGUGAUCUAGCCAUGGGCAGGUUGAAGGUUGGGUAACACUAACUGGAGGACCGAACCGACUAAUGUUGAAAAAUUAGCGGAUGACUUGUGGCUGGGGGUGAAAGGCCAAUCAAACCGGGAGAUAGCUGGUUCUCCCCGAAAGCUAUUUAGGUAGCGCCUCGUGAAUUCAUCUCCGGGGGUAGAGCACUGUUUCGGCAAGGGGGUCAUCCCGACUUACCAACCCGAUGCAAACUGCGAAUACCGGAGAAUGUUAUCACGGGAGACACACGGCGGGUGCUAACGUCCGUCGUGAAGAGGGAAACAACCCAGACCGCCAGCUAAGGUCCCAAAGUCAUGGUUAAGUGGGAAACGAUGUGGGAAGGCCCAGACAGCCAGGAUGUUGGCUUAGAAGCAGCCAUCAUUUAAAGAAAGCGUAAUAGCUCACUGGUCGAGUCGGCCUGCGCGGAAGAUGUAACGGGGCUAAACCAUGCACCGAAGCUGCGGCAGCGACGCUUAUGCGUUGUUGGGUAGGGGAGCGUUCUGUAAGCCUGUGAAGGUGUGCUGUGAGGCAUGCUGGAGGUAUCAGAAGUGCGAAUGCUGACAUAAGUAACGAUAAAGCGGGUGAAAAGCCCGCUCGCCGGAAGACCAAGGGUUCCUGUCCAACGUUAAUCGGGGCAGGGUGAGUCGACCCCUAAGGCGAGGCCGAAAGGCGUAGUCGAUGGGAAACAGGUUAAUAUUCCUGUACUUGGUGUUACUGCGAAGGGGGGACGGAGAAGGCUAUGUUGGCCGGGCGACGGUUGUCCCGGUUUAAGCGUGUAGGCUGGUUUUCCAGGCAAAUCCGGAAAAUCAAGGCUGAGGCGUGAUGACGAGGCACUACGGUGCUGAAGCAACAAAUGCCCUGCUUCCAGGAAAAGCCUCUAAGCAUCAGGUAACAUCAAAUCGUACCCCAAACCGACACAGGUGGUCAGGUAGAGAAUACCAAGGCGCUUGAGAGAACUCGGGUGAAGGAACUAGGCAAAAUGGUGCCGUAACUUCGGGAGAAGGCACGCUGAUAUGUAGGUGAAGUCCCUUGCGGAUGGAGCUGAAAUCAGUCGAAGAUACCAGCUGGCUGCAACUGUUUAUUAAAAACACAGCACUGUGCAAACACGAAAGUGGACGUAUACGGUGUGACGCCUGCCCGGUGCCGGAAGGUUAAUUGAUGGGGUCAGCGCAAGCGAAGCUCUUGAUCGAAGCCCCGGUAAACGGCGGCCGUAACUAUAACGGUCCUAAGGUAGCGAAAUUCCUUGUCGGGUAAGUUCCGACCUGCACGAAUGGCGUAAUGAUGGCCAGGCUGUCUCCACCCGAGACUCAGUGAAAUUGAACUCGCUGUGAAGAUGCAGUGUACCCGCGGCAAGACGGAAAGACCCCGUGAACCUUUACUAUAGCUUGACACUGAACAUUGAGCCUUGAUGUGUAGGAUAGGUGGGAGGCUUAGAAGUGUGGACGCCAGUCUGCAUGGAGCCGACCUUGAAAUACCACCCUUUAAUGUUUGAUGUUCUAACGUUGACCCGUAAUCCGGGUUGCGGACAGUGUCUGGUGGGUAGUUUGACUGGGGCGGUCUCCUCCUAAAGAGUAACGGAGGAGCACGAAGGUUGGCUAAUCCUGGUCGGACAUCAGGAGGUUAGUGCAAUGGCAUAAGCCAGCUUGACUGCGAGCGUGACGGCGCGAGCAGGUGCGAAAGCAGGUCAUAGUGAUCCGGUGGUUCUGAAUGGAAGGGCCAUCGCUCAACGGAUAAAAGGUACUCCGGGGAUAACAGGCUGAUACCGCCCAAGAGUUCAUAUCGACGGCGGUGUUUGGCACCUCGAUGUCGGCUCAUCACAUCCUGGGGCUGAAGUAGGUCCCAAGGGUAUGGCUGUUCGCCAUUUAAAGUGGUACGCGAGCUGGGUUUAGAACGUCGUGAGACAGUUCGGUCCCUAUCUGCCGUGGGCGCUGGAGAACUGAGGGGGGCUGCUCCUAGUACGAGAGGACCGGAGUGGACGCAUCACUGGUGUUCGGGUUGUCAUGCCAAUGGCACUGCCCGGUAGCUAAAUGCGGAAGAGAUAAGUGCUGAAAGCAUCUAAGCACGAAACUUGCCCCGAGAUGAGUUCUCCCUGACCCUUUAAGGGUCCUGAAGGAACGUUGAAGACGACGACGUUGAUAGGCCGGGUGUGUAAGCGCAGCGAUGCGUUGAGCUAACCGGUACUAAUGAACCGUGAGGCUUAACCUUACAACGCCGAAGCUGUU
rnacentral:rRNA from 1 species